GACGAACGCUGGCGGCGUGCUUAACACAUGCAAGUCGAACGGAGCUUAAUGAUGAAGCUUGCGAUUCAUUAAGUUUAGUGGCGGACGGGUGAGUAACGCGUGGGCAACCUACCCAUAAGCGGGGGACAACAGUUGGAAACGGCUGCUAAUACCGGAUGUGAGCAACUUUUAGUUGUUUGAAAGGUGGCGUAAGCUGUCGCUUGGGGAUGAGCCUGCGUCCUAUUAGUUAGUUGGUGAGGUAACGGCUCACCUAGGCAAUGAUAGGUAGGCGGCCUUAACGGGUGGUCGCCCACACUGGGAUUGAGAUACGGCCCAGACUCCUACGGGAGGCAGCAGUGGGGAAUAUUGCACAAUGGGCGAAAGCCUGAUGCAGCAACGCCGCGUGAGCGAAGAAGGCCUUUGGGUCGUAAAGCUCUGUCGGGAAGGAAGAUAAUGACGGUACUUCCCGAGGAAGCCCCGGUAACUACGUG
rnacentral:rRNA from 1 species